rnacentral:lncRNA from 1 species
CUCUCCGAUAAGUCGCAACAAUGGACACCACUCCACUCUCUAUAACAGAUUCCACAUGGCCCGAUCACUCUCUGGCAAGUCGCGACAACGGACACCACUUCACUCUCCAUAACAAACUCCAUGUGGCCCUGAACGACCCACUGACGCCACUACUCUCUGUAACAAACUCCGUAUGGCCCCGAAUGGCCCACUACCAGGC